GAUGAACGCGGGGAUGCGUGCCUAAUACAUGCAAGUCGAACGCGCAGCGAAAGGUGCUUGCACCUUUCAAGCGAGUGGCGAACGGGUGAGUAACACGUGGAUAACCUGCCUCAAGGCUGGGGAUAACAUUUGGAAACAGAUGCUAAUACCGAAUAAAACUUAGUAUCGCAUGAUACAAAGUUGAAAGGCGCUACGGCGUCACCUAGAGAUGGGUCCGCGGUGCAUUAGUUAGUUGGUGGGGUAAAGGCCUACCAAGACAAUGAUGCAUAGCCGAGUUGAGAGACUGAUCGGCCACAUUGGGACUGAGACACGGCCCAAACUCCUACGGGAGGCUGCAGUAGGGAAUCUUCCACAAUGGGCGAAAGCCUGAUGGAGCAACGCCGCGUGUGUGAUGAAGGCUUUAGGGUCGUAAAGCACUGUUGUAUGGGAAGAAAUGCUAGAAUAGGGAAUGAUUCUAGUUCGACGGUACCAUACCAGAAAGGGACGGCUAAAUAC
rnacentral:rRNA from 1 species